ACCUAAGACAGCACUGACACGUGUCAUUUAACUCCGACCGGUCUCAGCCUUUCGAGCAAAAAUUUCGGCAGGGAGGUAUUUUAAAAUACCUCAUAGUUGAUUCCGAGUCGGGCCCUCUUCUCUCAAUUUUCAUUUAAUUUUAAUUUCCAUCUUUUAUUAACUUUAAAUUCAUUUUUUUUUUAACCUUUAUUUUAUCUUGUUUUUGUUUUAUUUAUUUUUAGUCCUUUUAUUUUAUUUUUAAUGUCUAAAAUAAAUCAAAAUUUUUGUCCGAUAAUAUCCAAACACAGCUCAAAACAGGCUGUCAUAUUCCUCUCCAAGCAACAAAUUUUUUGCUCAUCUCAAGCUCUAUAAAGGCAACACGCAAGCAGCCAAGAGAAGGGGGGGCCCAACAGACAAAAACACAGAAUUUAAAAUCGCAAAAACUGCAAACAACAGAUCUUUCACAAAACUGAAUCCGAACCGUUUUCAGAACCGCAUCACCAUAACCACACAAACUCAGGCCAAAAUCAUCAAAAACCUUACUACACAAUCAACCAUUCAAAUCAGCCAGGUUCAACCUCAAACAUCCACAAAUCCAGCACCACCCUUAUAAACCCGUAAUCCCAAAUCAAUUUCACACAAAACCGAACCAUCACAACUCAAAUCAAACCAACCGUGAAACACCAUCAACAAACCAACACAGAUCCAGAUCAAAAAAAAGAAACAAUAAAAAGGUAGUAACCCUUUUUGUAGAUCUAGGGUCCGUUAAACCUCAUUUCAAAAAAAACGUUUCCAAAAAAGAAAGGAGAAGGGAAAGGGUAAUCUUUUGGUAAAAAAAAAAUAAAAAAAGGAGGAGUUUUUAACUCCGGCGCGGUGGCGCCGCCGCGAAAACUCGCCGGCCACCGCGCCGGAACCACCCCCGGUGGCCUCUCCUCGUCGGAGAAGAUGAAGCAAUUCUAGAGAGAAGGCAGAGCCUCUCUCUCUAGAAAUAAGA
rnacentral:lncRNA from 1 species